rnacentral:lncRNA from 1 species
GAAAAAGAAGAAGAAGGGACUUCGCACUCCCAGUUUCCUCAAGAUGAAGAAAGACAAGAAGAGAGAAAAAGAAGCCUUGCAUCAGUAGUGAUGACGGAAGAGCCUUUCCGCCAUUUUGUUGCCUCUUGCUCGUGGUAUUCUCAGAUUUCACGGGCGAACACAUGUCAUCGAGUUGUAAAUACACUGACGUACAUGGCACUAGGAGCACCACUACUUCUUCUGGUACGCAGCACCUCUACAGACAAGCUCGGUUCAGCGUGCGACUUCGCCUGCCCUCAGCACUCAGCAUCACGUGCAUUUCUUCAAGUUGAAAACAAGAUGAAUGAUUGUUGUACGGUUGAUUUUGAUUCUAUCUUGAGUGACGUUGCUUUCUCUUACUUCAAUCGACUGGGUUUUAUUAAUAUAUCUUCAAUAGUGAAAUGUUUCAUAUAAAGUUUAAUUCAUUGUGUCUCGUCUUGCUACGACGUGACUAGUAAAUUAGCUUAUUGAUUCUGAGCGCUGAUUUAGUUAACUCUAACAGUUUCAAUGAAUAUAUUUUACUGUAUCGAGAAACGAUCCCCUCUUGCAAUUGGCUACAAAAAGUGCUUUAUUUGUGCUCCUCUAUUCCGAGUUUUCAAACCCAUCCUUGUCUGAUAUUUAAACUUGAAAAUAUAUUCAUUCACACCGAACUACAUUCAUCGCCAAGAGUUUGAAACGUUCAUAUUUUAUGUUUUUAUUUCAAAAUUCAAAUUUAAGUGCGGAAUUUCAUUAUUGCUGUUAUUUUCUAGUAAUUUUAUCGCGCCAGAGGAUAAAUAUGACUGAAAUUUAUAUCUAUACCAUUUGAAAUGAAAUUUCAUAAUUAUCGAAAAGGAUGAUGAUCUUUCGACCAUCAUUACUCAUGCCCAUAGUUUGCUACGGUUUUAUGUCUUUAGAGAGACGAUGUUACACUCCUCACACCGCUAUUAUAUCUACUGAGUGAGUGCUUGUCGAUUAAUAAAACGUUCUAUUUCCCAUCAUUAAGCUCAUGGUAAUUAACAUGACUAAUGCUGGAGAAGAUUUACUUGAACCUUUUACUCGCGUAGCGCAGGUAAUACUUGACCGUGUAUUCUGAUCUAGCGCUCUGGCAAUGAACUUAUUUUUUGACAAUAAUUAUUUUCGUGAGUUAUUUUAUCCAAGAUGAAUAAUAAAUAUUUAUCGGUUAAUAUUUUGAUGCGCGUUAACUGCGUGCCAUUUUUGAUAGGGAAAUUUGCAUUUCGUUUGCAUGAAGAAUAUACUGUUAUAAUAAAUAUUUAUUUGCAUUUAUCGAGUCACUUAUAAAUUUUCAUUUCCUCUAUUGCCUAUCCUAUGCUUUAUAACGUAUCUGAUUUAUACCUUUUGAAAGAUGAAAUUACUCCUUGUUUUACGACGUGUUCAUUGCGCAACAAUUCGUCAGCUGAACAAGAUUCUUGCAAAUGGAGCUGGUUAUUUUGAAUGCUGGAGAACCCAUGCGGUUGACGAAUGAUGGCGCCAGGUUUGUUGGUGUACAGUUUGGUCUUUAUGAUGGGUCUCGUGCGACGUAUGGUAUCUCUCUUCAUUUCGUUCAACAAUGAGUGAGCAACCCUGUUUUACUUGCAACUUGAUAUCAAUUUUAUCACAAUUCAGCGAGAAUUUCACCAAUUUCAAAUAUGUGUUGUCUCCCAAUAUAUUAAUGCGCGAAUUUACCCUGUCUUAAAUUGUCUCUAUCCACUGGUAAUGCAUUCGUUAACUAUUAUAAAUAAUUAGAAAUGCCCUGUAGUGCCUAUUGUUCUGUCGAAUUCUGAAUUGACUUCUAGUGGCUUGAUGUGAGUGUUCAAGUUUCAUUGAAUCAUAUAGAGCCACUCUUGUCUGCAACUACUGAACCUUUCUGGCAGCUUUUCAGUUGAUUAUUGCUAAUUAUUUGCAUAAUAAUAUUUACUUGACAUAUUUAUAAAUUGUUCUUUUGAGUUCAUUUUUUAAGUUGUAAUUCCUUUAUACUGCGAUGGGUUUUACUAAAUUCGAUUAGUUUCAUUUUUGCCUGUGAACUAUUUCAGCAAUUGUUUUGGUUAUCUUCAAUUUGUAAAUUAUGAUUUCAUUUCUAAUGAAUUCUUCGUGGAAUGUUUGAGUUUAUCGUAAAAUCCAUUACGUAUAAGUGACCAUGUUGCAGCCAAUGCUGAGUUCAUGAACACUGGUUUACGAGGGGGUUGUACAUUUGGUUAAGCCAACUCCUAAUUGUUUUCAAUUCAACGGGUGAGCUCUGCUCACCAAAUAUCGAAAAAAUCCUUUCAAUUUGAAGUCGACUAUACGUUGUUAUGUACUAUGUAGCUAUUAUACUUUAUUACUACAUCAUGUCUGAUACUCAUGAAUAGCUUCCAUGUGUUUUACUCGCGUUAAUAUGUAUUAAAUCGAUUUUAAAUACAUAGAAAAGCGUGAAUAACAAGAGAACAGCAUCGCAUUUUAUAUAUUGGUGUAACGAUACAAUGAUGUGCGAGAAAAUUAAUUACGCUGAUGACACUGCCAUGUUUGCAUUCGGUUGGAUGCGAUGUUAUAAGGUAGGCAUGUAACUAUCUGCGAUGUUUCUUCCUAAUAUUCUAGCAUCUAUAUUCUACAUUGCGUGUGUGCAUAGUUCACUAUUCCGUGUAGGCAGCUUUAAAUUUCAUAUUUUGUUAUAAAGCAAUUAGGAGACUGGAAACUUAUUUAUAGAUCGCGUGCUCAUAAGAUAUUUAGUGUUUGGAAUGAAGGUUUUGCGCCCAUCUUAUAAAAAUGAAGUUUGCUGGCGCGUUUAUUUCAAUUACGGUUACUGUGUAGGCUUCAAUAGCUUCUUCAGUGCUUUUUUACUCUAUACCUAUCGUCCCUAUCGUCUUUGAACUGUGAUUGUACUAUGAUGAUAUUUUUCUCACUACCGUUUUUUAGCUGGGUUCGGUACGCUUCUAUGCCUUCUGUUAUUUGUCACUUACUUUUGAGGAACUGCAUUGAUCGCCCCAGAUGUUGCUUGCUUGGUAAUAAACCCCUCAACUGUUGCAUAUUGUACAGAACGCGACAGAGUUUUCUAUUAAAUUUGUUCGCUUUCGUUACGACUUGAAUCGAAAGAGAGGUUGAAUGUGAGCUGAGUGAGAUACCAAUCAUGGACAACUAAACCUUGAAGCAAGUUGUUAAGUGUGGAGGGAACAAACGCUUGUGUAUUCGUGAUGUUGAAACAUAGCUGCUUUUGUUUUUCAUAUGAGGUGGUAUAAAUAUAUGAAGGAAGUGCUUAUAGGUAAUAUGCUGUGAAGUUUCGAAUCGAGCCUGCCCAAUCGAGGAUUCAAAACUAUUAUCGUUCUUACUUAUCGCCUUUAGUCCGUGAAUUCUGUUCCAGCGUCAUGUCUGUCAGAGUUGACCCUGGAAGUAGAAUUCAACAUUCUUCGAUUCUACCCAAAAUGUGGCCUUUGAUUAGGCUCGCAGGUGUGUAACGCUUGUAAUAAUUUAUCCCGUAUAUUCAGGCAAAUUUUUUCAUUCGAUUUUCAACAUUCUGUCGCAAUUUUAACUCCUUGUGGCCAGAAAUCAGAAAUGACGGUGCAAUGUAUCAUUUAUAAUUAUUCUGUCCUCUUCCUAACCCAUACUACACUGCCAACAACAGAUUUACAAUCAUAGUCACAGCGCAGAGCUGGCGAACUGCACAGCUUACGUUGUCUCCUCGUAGUUCUGAAACCCUAUUCUUGUGGCUCUGUUUUCUUUUCGUAAGAAACUGUUGUUGGUCUACGGAAGCAGUUCUUUCUUCUAUGCUGGUCAACACGAUUUCUUUAUUACAAAUGCACUCGUCAGUUUCUGUAUUGGGAAUAUUGAUGUUGACAACAAUACUCGGGGCAGUUUAGCCCUUUCUUAUUUUAUCAGUAGUGCACUCGCGUUCAAUAAUCAAAUCUUUGCUGCGAUGAUUGUUCCGUGAAUCGUAGUAUUCAAGGCUCAUUAUUAGUCCUAUCUAUAAAGUGGAAAUUGUGGCAGCUGAACUAAGCUCUUUUUUUAAAUAAAAUUAUCUGGAACGAU